AUGUUAGCGGCGGACGGGUGAGUAACACGUGGGUAACCUGCCUGUAAGACUGGGAUAACUCCGGGAAACCGGGGCUAAUACCGGAUGGUUGUUUGAACCGCAUGGUUCAGACAUAAAAGGUGGCUUCGGCUACCACUUACAGAUGGACCCGCGGCGCAUUAGCUAGUUGGUGAGGUAACGGCUCACCAAGGCGACGAUGCGUAGCCGACCUGAGAGGGUGAUCGGCCACACUGGGACUGAGACACGGCCCAGACUCCUACGGGAGGCAGCAGUAGGGAAUCUUCCGCAAUGGACGAAAGUCUGACGGAGCAACGCCGCGUGAGUGAUGAAGGUUUUCGGAUCGUAAAGCUCUGUUGUUAGGGAAGAACAAGUGCCGUUCAAAUAGGGCGGCACCUUGACGGUACCUAACCAGAAAGCCACGGCUAACUACGUGCCAGCAGCCGCGGUAAUACGUAGGUGGCAAGCGUUGUCCGGAAUUAUUGGGCGUAAAGGGCUCGCAGGCGGUUUCUUAAGUCUGAUGUGAAAGCCCCCGGCUCAACCGGGGAGGGUCAUUGGAAACUGGGGAACUUGAGUGCAGAAGAGGAGAGUGGAAUUCCACGUGUAGCGGUGAAAUGCGUAGAGAUGUGGAGGAACACCAGUGGCGAAGGCGACUCUCUGGUCUGUAACUGACGCUGAGGAGCGAAAGCGUGGGGAGCGAACAGGAUUAGAUACCCUGGUAGUCCACGCCGUAAACGAUGAGUGCUAAGUGUUAAGGGGGUUUCCGCCCCUUAGUGCUGCAGCUAACGCAUUAAGCACUCCGCCUGGGGAGUACGGUCGCAAGACUGAAACUCAAAGGAAUUGACGGGGGCCCGCACAAGCGGUGGAGCAUGUGGGUUUAAUUCGAAGCAACGCGGAAGAACCUUACCAGGGUCUUGACAUCCUCUGACAAUCCUAGAGAUAGGACGUCCCCUUCGGGGGCAGAGUGACAGGUGGUGCAUGGUUGUCGUCAGCUCGUGUCGUGAGAUGUUGGGUUAAGUCCCGCAACGAGCGCAACCCUUGAUCUUAGUUGCCAGCAUUCAGUUGGGCACUCUAAGGUGACUGCCGGUGACAAACCGGAGGAAGGUGGGGAUGACGUCAAAUCAUCAUGCCCCUUAUGACCUGGGCUACACACGUGCUACAAUGGACAGAACAAAGGGCAGCGAAACCGCGAGGUUAAGCCAAUCCCACAAAUCUGUUCUCAGUUCGGAUCGCAGUCUGCAACUCGACUGCGUGAAGCUGGAAUCGCUAGUAAUCGCGGAUCAGCAUGCCGCGGUGAAUACGUUCCCGGGCCUUGUACACACCGCCCGUCACACCAC
rnacentral:rRNA from 1 species